rnacentral:rRNA from 1 species
UUGAACGCUGGCGGCAGGCCUAACACAUGCAAGUCGAGCGGAUGAAGGGAGCUUGCUCCUGGAUUCAGCGGCGGACGGGUGAGUAAUGCCUAGGAAUCUGCCUGGUAGUGGGGGAUAACGUCCGGAAACGGGCGCUAAUACCGCAUACGUCCUGAGGGAGAAAGUGGGGGAUCUUCGGACCUCACGCUAUCAGAUGAGCCUAGGUCGGAUUAGCUAGCUGGUGGGGUAAAGGCCUACCAAGGCGACGAUCCGUAACUGGUCUGAGAGGAUGAUCAGUCACACUGGAACUGAGACACGGUCCAGACUCCUACGGGAGGCAGCAGUGGGGAAUAUUGGACAAUGGGCGAAAGCCUGAUCCAGCCAUGCCGCGUGUGUGAAGAAGGUCUUCGGAUUGUAAAGCACUUUAAGUUGGGAGGAAGGGCAGUAAGUUAAUACCUUGCUGUUUUGACGUUACCAACAGAAUAAGCACCGGCUAACUUCGUG